CAGGGCCUCCAGGUCCCCAAAGUCCUGCCAGGCCCUCCCAGAGAGGGCACUGCAGUCACAGCAGCAGAUGGAGGCCCCGCCUCCCCACUCCAGAGCCGGUGUCCACUGCCCCGCAGAAGCUGGGCUCUUAGUAGCCAACCAUGGCCCAAAUCAUGACCCUCCAGAGCAGGGGGGGACCACCGUCCUGGAGGAAGCCCGCGGCACUGGUGGAGGGAGCAGACACCAGGGUGAGGGCCCUGCUGCCCCCACCACGGGCCGCCCCGCCCACCGCUGAGCUCCUCCUGUCUGCAUCUCCUCCUCUCCAGGCCCGCGUCAGGCAGGGAGACCCCCAACCAGAGCCCAAGGUCCACGAGGCCGCCCCCUGGCGCCGAGUGCUGGUAGGCAUUCCGACCCUCCCACCUCGUGAGGCCUCGGGAUGCUGUCAAUCGAGGUGCCCGCCCCGCCUCCCCAGGGGCGAGGAUUGACACGUGGCCCACACCCAGCCAGUCAGAGGUGAUGUGCCGCCCUCCUUCCGGAUCGGAAUCCGAGAGGGGCCCCGGCCGCUGAGGAGGAGCACCGCCGUCUUCCCGCCCUGAGCCUCCGGGCAGUGAGGAGCCCAAACCCGAGGGAACCCGGCAGGCCCUCUGGGGGCGCGGCUGCGAGGCCUCCCAGGACACUGGCAAGAAUACGGAAGGGAUCCUGCCUCUCUGGGGAAAAGAACCACCACUUCCCAGACUCCGACGGCCAAACCCAAGCAGAGGAAGAGAGAAAACGAGAGAAGCGCCCAAAGUCAGCGCUGGACGGAGUCUAGGGACAACACCCCGCUCUCUGCCCCUGAGGCAGGGCCUGCCUAGUCUGUCAAUUCAUCCCGAAAUCCCUGGUAGCUAAUCCCGACUCCCAGUUGAAACCUGUUGAAUACAUGAACUCUCCAGGUAAAAGCAAAGGCGGGGCCAAACAGGGAAGUACCGCGCCCAACGCCCCCCCGUGGGCCACCGCCCAGCGGCAACUGCACACUGACUGCGGCCCUCCGGGGGUCUUCGGCUUAGCGAGGGCGCCCCAGGUCGGCGACGCGCGCGCGUGAGCCCAAGGGCAGCCCACGAGGGCGUGUCAGGCCCGCUCCGCCACCCGGCGGAGUCGGCCCCGCAGCAGCUCACUGAACAGCGGAGGAAAGGGGCGGCGUGACUCGGCGCCUGGGGUCCUGCCGACGCCUUUCCUCGUUCUGCGGGGCAGCCGGCUAAGGGGGUCGUCCUGUGGUUCCAGCCCCGCGAGUCCUGGGAGGGAACCCUGCUCGGUGGGCUCGAGCCAGGGAGGAAGGCAGAGCGAGUGUGAGGGAGCUGCGCUCGGGGCCUCGGCAUCCCCUGGCCUCGGGCGAGGAGGGCGCACGGGGCGGCGAGGCAGUCCCCCCCUUCUCCAACCCACUGGGCUGCCCGGCGCCCCACACCUCCCCAGAACGUGCCCCGAAGGGCUGAGCAGACACCUGCCCUCCGGGACAGCCCCCUAGGUGCCCUCCGGGCCUGAUGUCAAUUCACGCCCACGAGACUGGAGCUUUGUUAUCCCCAUUUAACAGCCGAGGAAACCCAGCCGUUGGUGAGCGGGUGAGCUGAUCUAGCAUCCCGGUUGCCUUGCUCCAGCUGCCCAGAUCCUGGCGCCCAGUGUCCCCGGGCUCUGAGCGCGCCCCGGCGGGGGCCGCCCGCCU